rnacentral:rRNA from 1 species
UGGGGAAUUUUGGACAAUGGGCGCAAGCCUGAUCCAGCCAUGCCGCGUGCGGGAAGAAGGCCUUCGGGUUGUAAACCGCUUUUGUCAGGGAAGAAAUCUUCUGAGUUAAUACCUCGGGAGGAUGACGGUACCUGAAGAAUAAGCACCGGCUAACUACGUGCCAGCAGCCGCGGUAAUACGUAGGGUGCAAGCGUUAAUCGGAAUUACUGGGCGUAAAGCGUGCGCAGGCGGUUUUGUAAGACAGAGGUGAAAUCCCCGGGCUCAACCUGGGAACUGCCUUUGUGACUGCAAGGCUUGAGUGCGGCAGAGGGGGAUGGAAUUCCGCGUGUAGCAGUGAAAUGCGUAGAUAUGCGGAGGAACACCGAUGGCGAAGGCAAUCCCCUGGGCCUGCACUGACGCUCAUGCACGAAAGCGUGGGGAGCAAACAGGAUUAGAUACCCUGGUAGUCCACGCCCUAAACCGAUGUCAACUGGUUGUUGGGAAGGUUCCUUCUCAGUAACGUAGCUAACGCGUGAAGUUGACCGCCUGGGGAGUACGGCCGCAAGGUUGAAACUCAAAGG